AACGUAGGAGACGAACGUUAUCCGGAGUUACUGGGCGUAAAGGGCGUGUAGGCGGUUUGUUAAGUCUGGCGUGAAAGCUCUCGGCUAAACCGGGAGAGGUCGUUGGAUACUGGCGAACUAGAGGAUGGUAGAGGCGUGUGGAAUUCCGGGUGUAGUGGUGAAAUGCGUAGAGAUCCGGAGGAACACCAAUGGCGAAGGCAGCUUGCUGGCAUAUUUCUGACGCUAAGGCACGAAAGCGUGGGGAGCGAACAGG
rnacentral:rRNA from 1 species